GGACCUGAAAGGAAAGUACUUCCGCUCAGAUGGGCGGGGCUAGGGAGGUGGGGCGGAAGUGACUAUGACCCUCCGGGGGCUGGCAAAGGCGGGUUUCGCUAAUCGGUUGGGGUGUAGUGGACUUUUCCGGUUUUUGGAAAAGUGAUUUUAAUAAAGGCUCGGGAACUCUGUUCUUUCACCAUGCACAGAGGAUAUCGUUUAAAACAUAUUGUUUUGGGAGUCUCGUUUUCUUGCUAGAAAUAUGAGGUUUCUCUUGGAGUUUUAGCUUGGUGCCAUAGCUACAGCAUCUGACUAGGGCGCACUGUGGAGCAAAGAGAUGGUGAUUGCAGCCAUGAAAUUAAAAGACACUUGCUCCUUGGAAGGAAA